rnacentral:rRNA from 1 species
UGCCUACGGGGGGCAGCAGUGAGGAAUAUUGCGCAAUGGGGGCAACCCUGACGCAGCAACGCCGCGUGAGUGAGGAAGGUCUUCGGAUCGUAAAGCUCUGUCGGGUGGGAAGAAGUGUACAUAAGUUAAUAGCUUGUGUACUUGACGGUACCGCCAAAGGAAGCACCGGCUAACUCCGUGCCAGCAGCCGCGGUAAUACGGGGGGUGCAAGCGUUGUUCGGAAUCAUUGGGCGUAAAGAGCGUGUAGGCGGCUAGGCAAGUCAGAGGGGAAAUCCCUGGGCUUAACCCAGGAAGUGCAUUUGAAACUGCUUAGCUUGAGUAAGGAAGAGGGAAGUGGAAUUCCUGGUGUAGAGGUGAAAUUCGUAGAUAUCAGGAGGAACACCGGUGGCGAAGGCGACUUCCUGGUCCUAUACUGACGCUGAGACGCGAGAGCGUGGGGAGCAAACAGGAUUAGAUACCCGUGUAGUC